UGACUCCAGGACCAGGGUUCUGGUCCGUCUCUCUAGCUGGUUCAGCUCUGAAUCCACACCUGAGAAGCAUGAACGCCCGCCCAGGGACAAAGGGCUACAAGGCUGGUGAAUAAAUUAUCUCCUUCCUCCCCCACUUCCUCCCCAUCCUCAAACCUGCCCCAACUCUCCUGGAAUACCUCGGCCUGAUCAGCAGGAUUUCCACCCCUAAGCCCAUCAAGACAGCAAGAAAUGUCCAGCUGGCAGCAUUUGCCCCUGUCUGAUCAUUAAAU
rnacentral:lncRNA from 1 species